GAUAAGAUCAAGAUGGGUAACACAAAAUAGUGAAAAAGAAAAAUGAUAAGGAGAUGAAGAACUCAAAGUUGAAGAAGAAAACUCAAAGAAAAAGAAGAACAAAAAUGGUAGAUGAAGAAAAUAAAGUAUAAGAAGAUGAAAACCCGACGAUGAAAAAGAAAAUAAAAAAGAAGAAAGUAAAGAUGCGAAAAGGACAAACAAAAAUUAGAAAGAAAAAAAAAUUUGGAUAGGACAAAAAUGACCAAGAAGAAGUAAAAAGCAGAAGAUAAAAACGGG
rnacentral:lncRNA from 1 species